CAACCAUAGAUGAGACCUCCGAAGCUUCACCAAAAUAUGUCAAACACAUAAAUCACCAACAAAAUUCCACCUAAACACCUCCUAUCAACUUGAAUUCAAGGAAAUCAUUGAAGGUUGCUUCCAAGGCUAGUGAGAGAAAGAUUGAUUGUUGGUGAAAAACUUGAACACGAGCAGAGCAAGGAAGUAAGUAACUCCGCUUUGACGGGAGUUUUUGAGUAAGGUCUUCAGGCUAAGCGAGGAGUGAGAUUGGUCUGGUGCUGGUGGGGGAUCGUUAGAUGCCGUAUUUACUUUAUCGUAUUUCCUUUUAUCGAUAAAGUCUCGAUGUGAAGUUACUUUGAAUAUGAAUCAAGUAAUAUACUCACGGUUAUGUGUCUUCAUACAUAUAAUCGGUUCGCCUUUUGCUGCGAUACUCUGCAUAUUAUGUUUCCUUAUGAAAAAUAAGCUAUACCUGUUUUGUUUUUGUUCGUGAAAUUCCUGAUAAUUAAAAAGUUAUAACGA